rnacentral:rRNA from 1 species
UGUCAGCAGCCGCGGUAAUACAGGGGGUGCAAGCGUUGCUCGGAUUUACUGGGCGUAAAGCGCACGCAGGCGGGAGGUCAGGUCGGGUGUGAAAGCCCGGGGCUCAACCCCGGAACGGCACUCGAAACCGGCCACCUUGAAUACGGGAGAGGGGAGUGGAAUUCCUGGUGUAGAGGUGAAAUUCGUAGAUAUCAGGAGGAACACCAGUGGCGAAAGCGGCUCCCUGGUCCGAUAUUGACGCUGAUGUGCGAAAGCGUGGGGAGCAAACAGGAUUAGAUACCCUGGUAGUCCACGCCGUAAACGAUGAGUGCUCGCUGGUGGAGAUACUACCUCUUCAUUGGCCAAGCUAACGCAUGAAGCACUCCGCCUGGGGAGUACGGCCGCAAGGCUAAAACUCAAAGGAAUUGGCGG